CGUUGGUGACCAGCGGAGGGAUCAUUA
rnacentral:rRNA from 5 species